AAUGUGUUACCUGCCUAUUUUGAACCUCUAAUCAAUAUUUUGGACUUUGGAAUUCACAGCUGCUCCCUUUGGAUUGUACUCUUGUUUUGACUCAGUUUUCACCUGCCUCAUAAUUCCUGUACCUGCCUGUCUAGUGGAGAAUUUACUGAUUGCUUGCAGGGACUGGCCACUGAUUUCAGGAGGGGAUAACGCUGUAACAUCAGGCCAGACAACAUGAUGCUGACAUUGGAAGUUAAAAGAGACAUCAAAUGCCUUGUGACCUCCAAAACCAGUGUUUCAAUGGCUCUAUGGAUGAAUUUCUUAUUCUUUUGUCCAUUCACUGUGUGUGUGUGUUGUAAAAGAAUAUUAGUAUUUCAUGCUCCCACAUGCAUAUAUGUAUUGUAUACAUUUAGUCUGGAUUAAAUGAAAAACAUCCUUGUAUUUGAAACGUAGACGAGCUCUGAGCCGGACUACUAUGUUUUUCAAUCUCCAUAUAAG